GUACCACGGGACACGUGAAACCCUGUGGGAAGCAGGAGGGACCACCCUCCAAGGCUAAAUACUACCUAGUGACCGAUAGCGUAUAGUACCGUGAGGGAAAGGUGAAAAGAACCCCGGGAGGGGAGUGAAAUAGAACCUGAAACCCUGCACUUACAAGCUGUGGAAGCACAUUUCUUGUGUGACCACGUACUUUUUGUAGAACGGGCCUAACGAGUUACGUUAAGUAGCAAGGUUAAGCACUUAAGGUGCGGAGCCGUAGCGAAAGCGAGUUUUUAACUGAGCGUUCAGUUACUUGACGUAGACCCGAAACCGGGCGACCUACCCAUGUCCUAGGGGGUAUUGCACCUACCGAAGACUAUCAAACUCCGAAUGCCGUCAUCUUAUACUUGGGAGUCAGACUGUGGGUGAUAAGAUUCAUAGUCGAAAGGGCAACAGCCCAGAUCGUCAGCUAAGGUCCCUAAAUGUAAGUUAAGUGGUAAAGGAUGUGGGAUUGCACAGACAACCAGGAUGUUGGCUUAGAAGCAGCCACUCAUUCAAAGAGUGCGUAAUAGCUCACUGGUCGAGUGAUCCUGCGCCGAAGAUUUCCGGGGCUAAAACUUACUACCGAAGCUACGGCAUCAGUAAUGAUGGGUAGGGGAGCUUCCCAUACGGGUUGAAGCAUGACCGUAAGGACAUGUGGACAGUAUGGGAGUGAGAAUGUUGGCAUGAGUAGCGAGAUGUGGGUGAGAAUCCCACAGGCCGUAAACCCAAGGUUUCCAGGGAAGGUUCGUCCGCCCUGGGUUAGUCGGGACCUAAGCUGAGGCCGAAAGGCGUAGGUGAUGGACAACAGGUUGAUAUUCCUGUACUACCGAUAACCGUUUGAGAGAAGGGAUGACACAGUAGGAUAAGCUAAGCACACUGUUGGUUAUGUGUGCCCAAGCAUUGAGGCAGUCAAAGUAGGCAAAUCCGCUUUGAUAAUGCUGGGAUGUGAUGGGGAGCGAAAUUUAGUAGCGAAGUAGCUGAUUUCACACUGUCAAGAAAAGUCUCUAUCGAGGUUAAAGGUACCCGUACCGCAAACCGACACAGGUGGGUGAGGAGAGUAUCCUAAGGCCAGAGAGAACUGUUGUUAAGGAACUCGGCAAAAUGACCCCGUAACUUAGGGAUAAGGGGUGCCACCAUCAGGUGGCCGCAGAGAAUAGGCCCAAGCGACUGUUUACCAAAAACAUAGGUUUCUGCUAAGUCGCAAGACGAUGUAUAGGAGCUGACGCCUGCCCGGUGCUGGAAGGUUAAGGGGAUCUGUUAGAGCAAUCGAAGCAGUGAACUUAAGCCCCAGUAAACGGCGGCCGUAACUAUAACGGUCCUAAGGUAGCGAAAUUCCUUGUCGGGUAAGUUCCGACCCGCACGAAAGGCGUAACGAUUUGGGCACUGUCUCAACAACAGACUCGGUGAAAUUGUAAUUCCGGUGAAGAUGCCGGAUACCUGCGACAGGACGGAAAGACCCCAUGGAGCUUUACUGUAGCUUGACAUUGGGUCUUGGUACUACAUGUACAGGAUAGGUGGGAGGCUUUGAAACCAGGACGCCAGUUUUGGCGGAGCCAUCCUUGGGAUACCACCCUUGUAGUACUGGGACUCUAACCAUAGGCCAUGAAUCUGGUCUUGGGACACUGUCAGGUGGGCAGUUUGACUGGGGCGGUCGCCUCCCAAAAGGUAACGGAGGCGCUCAAAGGUUCUCUCAGUACGGUCGGAAAUCGUACGUAGAGUGUAAAGGCAAAAGAGAGCUUGAUUGCAAGACAUACAGGUCGAGCAAGGAUGAAAAUCGGACUUAGUGAUCCGGUGGUUCUGCGUGGAAGGGCCAUCGCUGUACGAGAGGACCGGGAUGGACGUACCUCUGGUGUACCAGUUGUCCUGCCAAGGGCAUGGCUGGGUAGCUAUGUACGGAAUGGAUAAGCGCUGAAAGCAUCUAAGCGCGAAGCCAACUUCAAGAUAAGAUUUCCCACCGCAAGGGUAAGACCCCAGAAAGACUAUCUGGUUGAUAGGUCGAAGGUGUAAGUGCAGCAAUGUAUUUAGCUUAUCGAUACUAAUAGGUCGAGGACUUGACCAAUAUUUAUUUGAUGUUCAUUCAUUAGGAUAUAUAUGUAGUUUUUAGAGUGCUAACUCUAAAAAAUUAGUUUUACUAAUUUAUAAAAAUUUAAUGCGGGUGUAGCUCAAUGGUAGAGUUCUGGCCUUCCAAGCCAGCUGUGAGGGUUCGAUCCCCUUCACCCGCUCCAAAAGAUUAUGUGGUUACAAUAGCAG
rnacentral:sRNA from 1 species